rnacentral:rRNA from 1 species
UACGGAGGGGGCUAGCGUUGUUCGGAAUUACUGGGCGUAAAGCGCGCGCAGGCGGUUCUUCAAGUCAGAGGUGAAAGCCCAGAGCUCAACUCUGGAACGGCCUUUGAGACUAGAGAACUUGGGUACGGGAGAGGUGAGUGGAAUUCCGAGUGUAGAGGUGAAAUUCGUAGAUAUUCGGAAGAACACCAGUGGCGAAGGCGGCUCACUGGCCCGUUACCGACGCUCAGGCGCGACAGCGUGGGGAGCAAACAGG